AAAUUGAAGAGUUUGAUCAUGGCUCAGAUUGAACGCUGGCGGCAGGCCUAACACAUGCAAGUCGAACGGUAACAGGAAGCAGCUUGCUGCUUUGCUGACGAGUGGCGGACGGGUGAGUAAUGUCUGGGAAACUGCCUGAUGGAGGGGGAUAACUACUGGAAACGGUAGCUAAUACCGCAUAACGUCGCAAGACCAAAGAGGGGGACCUUCGGGCCUCUUGCCAUCGGAUGUGCCCAGAUGGGAUUAGCUAGUAGGUGGGGUAACGGCUCACCUAGGCGACGAUCCCUAGCUGGUCUGAGAGGAUGACCAGCCACACUGGAACUGAGACACGGUCCAGACUCCUACGGGAGGCAGCAGUGGGGAAUAUUGCACAAUGGGCGCAAGCCUGAUGCAGCCAUGCCGCGUGUAUGAAGAAGGCCUUCGGGUUGUAAAGUACUUUCAGCGGGGAGGAAGAGAGUAAAGUUAAUACCUUU
rnacentral:rRNA from 1 species